AUUAUAAUACAUUCUUUAUUUGUCAGAACCGAAUCAGGUGAUGAAAUUUCUGUCGACUCAAACCCUCGGAAACAGGAUAGAUUCGCCGCUGGAGCGACUUCACGACGGCAAAUUCAGAGUAAAAGUUACCGGAAUCUACCUCAUCUAUUUAAACGCCCAGUUGUAUGUUUACGAUAUUCAUUAUGCUGUGGCGUUGUAUAUCGGGAACAUUGACACCGACCCAGACCUCAUGUGCACGGUUGCCACGGAUACAAUUCAAUCUCAUACAUCUGAAACGAAAUAUAACAACGCUAGAACAAAGUCAUGUUCGACGAUGGGAACAUUUUAUAUGAGAGCAGACCAACACAUUUCUGUCGUCAUGCAAGAGACAAACAGGGCCAUACAAAUCAAAGACGGCACAAAUUUUGGCGCCAUUUUACUUAAGUCUGACUGAAUGGAACUUUCUAUUACCCUCUUUUUCGAUAUACGUAUCAAAUAUACAGUAUACUGUUAAAUUCCAUUUUAAGCAGUAAUCUGAUUUUAGCGCUAUUCGCACUGGAAACAUUGCACUAAAAUAUUAUUGUGCUUUUAUAUUUGCUAUGUUCUUUUUCUGUAGCAAAUGAUGUCGAUAAGCGAAUUCUACAAAUUUGCGCUAAUCUCUAAACCACCGGCCAAAUAUGGCUUGUAUCACUAACUUUAGAUGACUUUAGCAAAACUAUUUUCUUUAAAGAGGAAAGAUUACAUCGAAUUGGAGCAGAGUGGUGGUCCUGAGUGGGUCAGACCAUUUUCAUUGCCCAAAGACACUUUACAGAAGAAGAAAAACGUUAUUAUUUUUUUAUUUCUCCUACUGAGUCUAGCCCCUUGGGCCCAAGAGUGUCCGUAUUCAACAGUUUUUGUACAAAACUGGUUCUCCUUCACCAAAAGAUGCUUCAGCCCAUUUUCUUCCAUAAUCCACUGAGUUGUUUAUGAUUAUCAUAGUACCUAUACAAAAGAAAAGUUGACAUACGGACGACUGAUGGACGACGGACAUUGCGCCGUACCAUAAGCUAUCGUUAGAUUCAGGUAAUCUAACAACGGCAGUGCGUACAUGUUUGAGGUGUGCACCAAAAUAUACGUCUACGUUAGUAUAUACCAUGUGUGUUAGGAACUAGCUUCACUUCACAGGGUGAUGCCGUGGUUGCUAGGAAUGUGAUAAAUCGAUACCACACAGGAAAGGGAAAGACAGCUGACCCGCACUAUGACGCCACUCACAAAAGCGUAACGUCAUCAUGUAGCGUAACCACGUCAUCAGUUUCAACGCACAUUUCAUGAAACAUUGAUGAAAGCGCGGUAAAAAGGUUUCACAUAGCUUUAUAAUUUGUUACUUUUGUAAGUGAAAAAAAUAUAGGCAAGCCUCGUGCUGACCUGCCAACUGUUACACUCGGGCUGAGAUAUCCCUGUCAUGAAAGAUUCUAUUAAUAUUCACUGCGGUUUUAACACUUCUAAUGUUACUUUCAGCAAAAGUAUCAUGCGGAUAAUUUGCAGUCAUAGACAUCAAUAUUGCCUCCAAGGAUAAACAUAUUUGGGUUACUAAUUUGUAGAAGUUUGGCGCAAUAUCAUCAAGAUUACAAUUUAUUGAAUUAUACGUAUCACGGGAUAUUUUAAUGUACCAGUACAUAUGAUAUAUAAUAUGAAUCUCAUUUAAAGUGAAAAAUACUGACUGACUUUCAUCUAUAUCCUAUGUUAUAACAAUGCAUGUGUAGGCUAUCCUCAUGUACAGCAUUAAAAGUCAUUAUCGAGAGGUAUAUGGUAAAUGGUAUUUAGUUACAAGAGACUGAAGAGAAUGACUGCAUGACGGAUAAUACAGGUUAUUAUUAAAGUCAGUGGUCGGUUAAGUCAGGUUUCACACUGUUUUGUUGAAUAUUUUAGAUGAAUAUGGUUUGUGUUGUACAUAUAACAAUAAUAUGGAUUACACAAGUGAAAUAUCAUUUUGGUUGUUAAAUAAUAUUGUUAUGUCUUUAAGCAAUAAAAAUCCCCAUAUAUCAU